UGGCGGCGAGUGGCGAACGGGUGAGUAAUACAUCGGAACGUACCCUGUUGUGGGGGAUAACUAGUCGAAAGAUUAGCUAAUACCGCAUACGACCUGAGGGUGAAAGUGGGGGACCGCAAGGCCUCACGCAGCAGGAGCGGCCGAUGUCUGAUUAGCUAGUUGGUGGGGUAAAGGCCCACCAAGGCGACGAUCAGUAGCUGGUCUGAGAGGACGAUCAGCCACACUGGGACUGAGACACGGCCCAGACUCC
rnacentral:rRNA from 1 species